rnacentral:misc_RNA from 1 species
GAUGAAGAACGCAGUGAAAUGCGAUAAGUAAUGUGAAUUGCAGAAUUCAGUGAAUCAUCGAAUCUUUGAACGCACAUUGCGCCCCUUGGUAUUCCGAGGGGCAUGCCUGUUCGAGCGUCAUUUUGACCAGUCCCGCUUGCGGGGUCUUGGGCCUUCGCCUCUGGGCGGGCCUUAAAAUCAGUGGCGGUGCCGUCCGGCUCUAAGCGUAGUAAAUCUCCUCGCUAUAGGGUUCCGGAGGGAUGCUGGCCAACAACCCCCAACUUUUAAGGUUGACCUCGGAUCAGGUAGGGAUACCCGCUGAACUUAAGCAUAUCAAUAAGCGGAGGA